rnacentral:lncRNA from 13 species
UGUACACUGCGUGUCUGUAUGUGUGUGUGUCUGUCUGUGUCUGUGUGUCUGUCUGCCUAUUCGUGUCUGUGUGUACACUGUGUGUCUGUGUGUGUGUCUGUGUCUGUGUGUGUGUGCCUGUGUGUGUCUGUCUCUGUGUCUGUGUGUAUCUGUGUCUCUGUAUCUAUGUGUGCCUAUGUGUGUGUCUCUGUGGGGGGGUGUGUCUGUGUGUGUAUCUCUGUGUGUGUCUGUGUGUGUGUCUGUCUAUGUGUAUCUGUGUGUGUGUCUGUGUAUGUGUCUGUGUGUGUGUAUCUGUGUGCCUAUGUGUGUGUGUCUCUGUAUCUGGGUGUGUGCCUGUGUAUGUAUUUGUGUGUGUGUCUAUGUGUGUGUCUGUCUGUGUGUGUCUGUGUGCCUGUCUGCCUGUUUGUGUCUGUAUCUGUAUACACUGCGUGUCUGUAUGUGUGUGUGUCUGUGUGUGUGUGUCUGUGUGUCUGUGUGUCUGUCUGCCUAUUCGUGUCUGUGUACACUGUGUGUCUGUCUGUGUGUGUGUGUGUCUGUGUGCCUGUCUGCCUGUUCGUGUCUGUAUCUGUGUACACUGAAUGUCUGUGUGUGUGUGUCUGUCUGUGUGUGUGUCUGUGUGUCUGUCUCCCUGUUCGUGUCUGUGUCUGUGUACAGUGUGUGUAUGUCUGUGUGUGUGUCUGUGUGUGUGUCUGCCUAUUCGUGUCUGUGUCUGUGUACACCAUGUGUCUGUGUGUGUGUGUCUGUCUGUCUGCCUGUUUGUGCUGUCUGUGUACACUGUGUGUCUGUGCGUGUGUCUGUAUGCCUGUCUGCCUAUUGGUGUCUGUGUCUGUGUACACCGUGUGUCUGUGUGUCUGUCUGCCUGUUCGUGCUGUCUGUAUACACCGUGUGUCUGUGUGUCUGUCUGCCUGUUCGUGCUGUCUGUAUACACCGUGUGUCUGUGUGUGUGUGUCUGUGUGUCUGUCUGCCUAUUCGUGCUGUCUGUGUACACUGUGUGUCUGUGUGUGUGUCUGUGUGCCUGUCUGCCUGUUCGUGUCCA